rnacentral:rRNA from 1 species
UAGGGAAUAUUGGACAAUGGGCGCAAGCCUGAUCCAGCCAUGCCGCGUGUGUGAAGAAGGCCUUCGGGUUGUAAAGCACUUUUAUCCGGAAAGAAAAGCGCUGGGUUAAUACCCUGGUGUUCUGACGGUACCGGAAGAAUAAGCACCGGCUAACUUCGUGCCAGCAGCCGCGGUAAUACGAAGGGUGCAAGCGUUACUCGGAAUUACUGGGCGUAAAGCGUGCGUAGGUGGUUUGUUAAGUCUGAUGUGAAAGCCCUGGGCUCAACCUGGGAAUUGCAUUGGAUACUGGCAGGCUAGAGUGCGGUAGAGGGUAGUGGAAUUCCCGGUGUAGCAGUGAAAUGCGUAGAGAUCGGGAGGAACAUCCGUGGCGAAGGCGACUACCUGGACCAGCACUGACACUGAGGCACGAAAGCGUGGGGAGCAAACA